rnacentral:tRNA from 1 species
GCGGUUGUGGUUUAGCGGUAGAGCAUUUGGUUUGCCUACAAAGAGGUCCAGGUUCAAUCCCUGCCAUCUGCA